UCGGCUAUGCGUUUUAAUUUUUGACUCUAUUUGUUGUGGUGCUAUGAGUUUUUAGUUUGUUUUUAUGUUGUUUUUUGUAAAAUAUUUUGAUUUUUUUUUAGUUUCUUGUGGUAUCAAAAAUUUGUUUUUUGAACUGGAUUAGUACCCAGGUAAUCAAAAUUUAAUAAUUCGGGAGUAAAGUUUUGUUUAAACCGAAAAAAUAUUGACUGACUUUAGAUUUUUCUUUGGAACAUGUGAUUUGCUGGAGAGCCCUCUUUUUUGGUGAAUUUUGUUGGCACAUGUAUGAUUGUUUAGUUUUUAUUUUAUUUUGUAAUGCUUUGUUGUUUUGGCAUUAAAAACAGAUAUAUAUUUGGCUUAUGAAUUUAUGUUUCAUGUGUUACUAUUAUGAAUUUUUUUUGGAUUAGUUUUUUAUUUUUUUUUGAAAUUGGAAAGGAAAGUAAUUUUUUUUUAAUGUUUUAAUGAAUUUAAUAAAUAAGGUGGUACAAACCAUCCGUCAAUGGCCUAAAGGGGCGUAAGUUG
rnacentral:ncRNA from 1 species